UUUUUUUUUUUUUCCUAAAGCAAAAGAAAGAUAAAACAGGUAGAGUGGAUGGAAGAGGAAGGGUUAUGAAUCCAAGAAAGACAACAAGGUUAGGAAGAUCUGGAGACCUGGAGGAAGAAAUGACAUCCUGCUCCAGUAUUCCUGCCUGGGAAAUUCCAAGGACAGAGGAGCCUGGCGGGCUACUUUCCAUGGGACUGCAAAGAGUGGAACAUGACUGAGCACAGCACAGCACCUACAGCCAAAACACAGGACCAUAAAGGGGAUCUUUCUGACCCAGGAAUCAAACCCAGGUCUUCGGCAUCGCAGGCAGAUUCUUUACCAUCCAUCCACCAUACUUUCACUCCUUUUACGUUCUCUACAUUUUUAACGGUUUCUCAAGAGGCAGGUCCAGGUGGUCUGGUAUUCCCAUUUCUUUCAGAAUUUUCCACUGUUGAGGCUGAAACUCCAAUACUUUGGCCACCUGAUGCGAAGAGCUGACU
ensembl:lncRNA